UUUCUGAAACCUACAUGGCUACGGAGGUC
rnacentral:piRNA from 1 species